rnacentral:rRNA from 1 species
AUGGAGUCGUGGAAGCUGGCCCGCGAGCAGAGUCAUCGCAAGGAGGGCGAGAGCCAGUACUACGGCAAGACCGAGGAGCACCUGGGGUCUUACAUUCAUCACUAUCAGGAGUUGCAUCCGGAUGUUCCUGUUGCUGAGGUAGCCCAGUCUCAGAUCGACGACACGGCGGUGGUGGCCAUCCAGGGGAAGAAGAAUGGCCGGUAUCCGUGUUUCGAUGGCUUGAUCACUCCUUCGAUCUCGUACACACAGCUUCGGGCUACCAACCAGAGCCUGUUAGAGAGUACGGGGCAUUCACAGACUCCCUUAGCCCGCCAGCAUGCUGCAUAUAAGGAGUUUGUCGAGCAUAGGAAUCUCGAGGUGCGGGAGUACUUGAAACAAGUGAAGGCAAACGAUGAUUACAACCGUCAGAUGAUGACGGCUAUGUUGGCGUCUUGGACUAAUCGCACGGAUCCACCACAAAUGGGACCCCCACCACCACCUGCGGGAGAACCCCCACAUGUGCCCACGUUCGAUGAAUGGGUGGCACUAGGCAGUGAUGGUCCGGGGACCGGUGGCUCAACUCCUUCUCCGUCGACCCUAGUCACUCCGAUCUGGCAGAGUGGUGGUGGUCGUGAUGGCGGUUUUGGCGGAGGUGGUGGUGGUGGUUUUGGCGGAGGUGGUGCUUUUGGUGGAGGUGCUGGUUUUGGUGGAGGUGCUCUUGCUUGA